AUUGAACGCUGGCGGCAUGCCUUACACAUGCAAGUCGAACGGCAGCGGGGACUUCGGUCCGCCGGCGAGUGGCGAACGGGUGAGUAAUGUAUCGGAACGUACCUUUCAGUGGGGGAUGAUGUAGCGAAAGUUACGCUAAUACCGCAUAUUCUCUGAGGAGGAAAGCAGGGGACCUUCGGGCCUUGUUCCGAUGGAGCGGCGGAUAUGAGCUUAGCUAGUUGGUGAGGUAAAGGCUCACCAAGGCGGCGAUCUGUAGCGGGUCUGAGAGGAUGAUCCGCCACACUGGGACUGAGACACGGCCCAGACUCCUACGGGAGGCAGCAGUGGGGAAUUUUGGACAAUGGGCGCAAGCCUGAUCCAGCCAUGCCGCGUGAGUGAAGAAGGCCUUCGGGUUGUAAAGCUCUUUCGGACGGGAAGAAAUUGGUGGGGCUAAUAUCCCCAUCGGAUGACGGUACCGUAAUAAGAAGCACCGGCUAACUACGUGCCAGCCGCCGCCGUAAAAC
rnacentral:rRNA from 1 species